CGAACGGGUGAGUAAUGCAUCGGAACGCGUCCUGUAGUGGGGGACAACCCCGAGAAAUCGGGGCUAAUACCGCAUACGAUCUGCGGAUGAAAGUGGGGACCGCAAGGCCUCACGCUAUAGGAGCGGCCGAUGCCGGAUUAGCUAGUUGGUGGGGUAAAGGCCUACCAAGGCGACGAUCCGUAGCUGGUCUGAGAGGACGACCAGCCACACUGGGACUGAGACACGGCCCAG
rnacentral:rRNA from 1 species